AACUUUUAGCAACGGAUCACUUGGCUCUCGCAUCGAUGAAGAACGCAGCGAAUUGCGAUAAGUAAUGUGAAUUGCAGAUUUUCAUUGAAUCAUCGAAUCUUUGAACGCACCUUGCGCCCCUUGGUUAUUCCUUGGGGCAUGCCUGUUUGAGGAUCAUGAACACCUCAACUCUCACGGUCUUCCGUGGCGAGCUGGGACUUGGGGGGUUGGUGGGCCCGGGGGCCGGCUCCUCUCAAACAAAUCAGCUUGCCAGUGUUUGGCGGCAUCUCACGGGUGUGAUAACUAUCUACGCUCGCGGCUGUCUGCCAGGUAACCCUCAGCGAUGAAGGUUCAUUGGGGCUCAUAAACGUCUCUCCUCGGCGAGGACAACUUUUGAACGUUCGAUCUCAAAUCAGGUAGGACUACCCGCUGAACUUAAGCAUAUCAAUAAGCGGAGGCU
rnacentral:misc_RNA from 1 species